GCCCGCCGCUUGGAGCCAGCGACACUGGCCAGUUUAUCUACUUGGAUGUCCUCCAGAGACAGCAACCAGCAGAAGCCCGGCAGUGUGGGAGGAGACACAACACAGGAGAAGAAUUACCAGAUGAGAAAUGAGCAGCCCAGAGAGGUUAAAUAACUUGCCCAAAUCACACACUUGAUGAGUUGUAGUGCUGGGGCUGGGACCCACGCAGCCUGACUCCAGAGCCUGAGACGUUAACAGCUAUGCUGCAUGGCAGAGCAAGGGAGAUGCUGACGACGCCAGUGUGCAUUGUGUGCUGUCUUAAUGGAUUCAAGGCAUCAGAUUUGCUAAGUGAGUUCAAAUGUAGAAAUGAUACCAAAGACUGGCUGUCUGGAGAAGCUGCUUCUGCUGCAGGCAAAGCUGGAAAGCCCACUGCUGGUCCUAAGCAAAUUCACAAAAGAGCUACAGUGGGUGUGAAGGAGAGGUCUCGGGAAUGUCAGAACCUACAAUGUCUGGGAUCUGAUCCGCAGACUUCAGGGCAGGCGCUGGCAUAUUCUGAGGAACGUAAGUGACAGACCGGCAUGUAAUUAGACCAUGGCCAAUGUGGAGGCAGCCCCAGACCAAAUCUGGUAAACCAACACUUGGAUUCAUUACAGAAGCUGAAACAUAAAAUGAAUCUGCUACAGGCCCAGGUUGAGACACCCCAUCUCAGGACUCGUUCCACAGCUUCUUGAAAUAGGAUCUACAACACCUCUACUUUCACAAGAUGGGGGUCUGGGAGGGCAGGGGGAACUGUGCAGUUGAACUUCAUCAUAAGAAUUCUCUUAUUAAGAUCUAAUUGGAUUACUCUUCCUAAUUAUACUGAAAAUAAAUGUAUUUAUUGUACUCCUGAGGUGCUGAAUGCAGACAAUUCAAAAGAAGAUAUUUUGCAAUAUUUAUUCUACCUAUCAUAAACAUGUCCUUCCUUUCUUUUCUUUU